AUAAAAUCGAAUUUUGUGAAUUUUCAUUUUUCUUGGUAACAAAAACAAAUUCAAUAAUAUUCGCGUACUGCUGUAGUAUUAGUGUACCAUUACAUUUGCGGUAUGUGCGUGUGUUGCCACAAUAGCAUACAAAAAAAUUACGUUCGAUUUUUAUUAUUAAAACAAAACAACAAAGUGUGAAAUGUAUGUAAAUUCAUUCGCAAAAAUGGUGAAACAACGUAAAUUUCGAUAGUUUUGCAAGCAACCAUUGGAGCGCGACGGUAAUGUUUUCUAACUGUGUGCUCGUAUGUAUGUUGAAGCGCGUGUAGUUUGUUUGCGGGCGUGAGUGUAAAUAUUUGUUCGCUCAACAACAAUGAGAGUUGUUGAUGUUCGUAUUACGAAACAAUAAAUUGAAAAAUAAAAAAAAUUAGAAGUGAAAAGUGAAAAGUAAGUAAAAAAUAAUUGGCUGUGAAAAUCACAGAAACAAACACAUUUGUAAUUUGUUUAUACUCGCAGACGCCUCAAAGUAUGCUGCGUUACCUACAUUUUUUGUAACUUUUCAACAUUUAAGGCUUUUGUUACGAUUUACAUAUGAGAAUUAAAACUAAAAUGAUCAAAUUGAAAUUAUUUGAAGACAACGGUUUUGUCGUUUUUUAUUUUAUUUUUUUGUUUUACUUUUUUGUUCAGUGCUUUUGAUCUGCUAAUAAUGUGUACACAACAAUUAACGCAAUUAGUUUAACAAAGUGAAUACAUUCAAAUGCUUUUAUUAUUAUAAAUAUACAUUUAAUACAAACAUAAAUACAUAUUGUGUUUUGUGGUUCUAAAAAAGAAAACAAAAAUUGCCACAAAAUGUUGAUAGCUUUCUCCAGCAUUGGUUCGAAUAUUGAAUAUAUAUGUACAAUGUAUAUAUAUAUUUUUUUUUUUUUUUUGCAAAAGUGUGUAAAGCCUGUUUGUGGUCAAAAUUGAUUACAAAAUAAUUAUUUUUACUUUGAAAAAUGGAUCGAGGUCUACUAAAAAAUUUUGAAAUUUCUUAAAAGCAAAGUGAAUGAAAUUCUUAGCAAUCAAAAUCUUCACGAAGAGUCAAAGGCAUACACAAUGCUGGGAAAAUUCAGGUAAAACUCAUUUGGAAAGACAAGCAAAGUAUUUAAAUAUCCAUAAUGGCAAAAUCAAUGAUCGUAG